rnacentral:rRNA from 1 species
GAGCGUUCUGUAAGCCUGUGAAGGUGAGUUGAGAAGCUUGCUGGAGGUAUCAGAAGUGCGAAUGCUGACAUGAGUAACGACAAUGGGUGUGAAAAACACCCACGCCGAAAGACCAAGGGUUCCUGCGCAACGUUAAUCGACGCAGGGUUAGUCGGUUCCUAAGGCGAGGCUGAAAAGCGUAGUCGAUGGGAAACAGGUUAAUAUUCCUGUACUUCUGGUUACUGCGAUGGAGGGACGGAGAAGGCUAGGCCAGCUUGGCGUUGGUUGUCCAAGUUUAAGGUGGUAGGCUGAAAUCUUAGGUAAAUCCGGGGUUUCAAGGCCGAGAGCUGAUGACGAGUCGUCUUUUAGAUGACGAAGUGGUUGAUGCCAUGCUUCCAAGAAAAGCUUCUAAGCUUCAGGUAACCAGGAACCGUACCCCAAACCGACACAGGUGGUCGGGUAGAGAAUACCAAGGCGCUUGAGAGAACUCGGGUGAAGGAACUAGGCAAAAUGGCACCGUAACUUCGGGAGAAGGUGCGCCGGCUAGGGUGAAGGAUUUACUCCGUAAGCUCUGGCUGGUCGAAGAUACCAGGCCGCUGCGACUGUUUAUUAAAAACACAGCACUCUGCAAACACGAAAGUGGACGUAUAGGGUGUGACGCCUGCCCGGUGCCGGAAGGUUAAUUGAUGGGGUUAGCGCAAGCGAAGCUCUUGAUCGAAGCCCCGGUAAACGGCGGCCGUAACUAUAACGGUCCUAAGGUAGCGAAAUUCCUUGUCGGGUAAGUUCCGACCUGCACGAAUGGCGUAACGAUGGCGGCGCUGUCUCCACCCGAGACUCAGUGAAAUUGAAAUCGCUGUGAAGAUGCAGUGUAUCCGCGGCUAGACGGAAAGACCCCGUGAACCUUUACUGUAGCUUUGCACUGGACUUUGAGCCUGCUUGUGUAGGAUAGGUGGGAGGCUUUGAAGCGUGGACGCCAGUUCGCGUGGAGCCAUCCUUGAAAUACCACCCUGGCAUGCUU